rnacentral:rRNA from 1 species
AGCAUAUCAAUAAGCGAGAAAGAACCACAGGAUUACCUCAGUACGGCGAGUGAAGCGGUAACAGCUCAAAUUUGAAAUCUGGCCUCACGGUCCGAGUUGUAAUUUGUAGAGGAUGCUUCGAGCAUGGUCUGGCCUAAGUUCCUUGGAACAGGACGUCAUAGAGGGUGAGAAUCCCGUAUGCGGUCAGGUGCCUACGCUCAUGUGAAGCUCCUUCGACGAGUCGAGUUGUUUGGGAAUGCAGCUCAAAAUGGGUGGUAAAUUUCAUCUAAAGCUAAAUAUUGGCCAGAGACCGAUAGCGCACAAGUAGAGUGAUCGAAAGAUGAAAAGCACUUUGGAAAGAGAGUUAAACAGUACGUGAAAUUGUUGAAAGGGAAGCGCUUGCAACCAGACUUGCGCGCGGCCGAUCAUCCGGUGUUCUCACCGGUGCACUCGGCCGUGCUCAGGCCAGCAUCGGUUUUGGCGGCUGGAUAAAGGCCCCAGGAAUGUGGCUCCUCUCGGGGAGUGUUAUAGCCUGGGGUGCAAUGCAGCCUGCUGGGACCGAGGACCGCGCUUCGGCUAGGAUGCUGGCGUAAUGGUUGUAAGCGGCCCGUCUUGAAACACGGACCAAGGAGUCUAACAUCUAUGCGAGUGUUUGGGUGUCAAACCCAUACGCGUAAUGAAAGUGAACGGAGGUGAGAACCCUUAAGGGUGCAUCAUCGACCGAUCCUGAUGUCUUCGGAAGGAUUUGAGUAAGAGCAUAGCUGUUGGGACCCGAAAGAUGGUGAACUAUGCCUGAAUAGGGUGAAGCCAGAGGAAACUCUGGUGGAGGCUCGCAGCGGUUCUGACGUGCAAAUCGAUCGUCAAAUUUGGUAUAGGGCGAAGACUAUCG